rnacentral:lncRNA from 1 species
GGGAAAAGGAGCCUUUCCUCUGGCAAGAGGUUUUCAUCUUCUUGGCUUCCCGACAGAAACUCCUGGUGUGGAGAGCGGGGAAACUCAGCUGAAGCUGUUGGGGAGCUCCCCACGCCUGCCAGUCUGCAGUGCUGGAGGAGCUGGAGCAACUGGAAGGAGAAGGAAAACACAGAGUAAAGAGGUAACAGGAGUAAAGGAAGGCUUCCUUGGAAAAAGAAGGAGACAAGCUUUUUCCAUGAAAGCCCCAGCAGCCUGGUCUGUGGCUCACUUGUGGGAAGGCGCAGCGUGGGGAUGGCAAAGCUGCACAGUGCCCACACCUUGUGUCUCUGUCCCCUCUUUCCCACCAUGGCACAGCCAGGAGGAACAGCAAACAGCAUGGUGCAGAUCUGGAAAGGAAAAUGAAGUGUUUUCCUAGCACAGGAACUGUUUGUAACGCGGUGGAGGUUUCCAAUGUUCCAAUGUUCCAAUGAGUUUGCCUUUUAUUUCACAUCCCUGAUCCUACAGCCCAGUUUGCCCCUAGCUCUCCUAAAGCUCCUUUUCAUUAAAACCAUAAAUCAG